AGAGACGCUAGGCCGGCACUGCCUAGGUGGGCCGGGCGGUGCGAGGGUCGCCUUUCAGCCUUUACCUCUACCCACUGAAAUGGAGUAGGUCGGUGAGCGCCGAUCUGCUGGAGAAUCUCAUUAUCCCAUCGGCGCUCUGCCUGCUCCUGGCCUCCAAGCCUCUGAAGCCCCUCGGGUUUCAGCUGCCGGCUACCCUCGAGCCCGUGGUGCCCACGAGAGAGGCGACUUUACGUCAGCGGCCCUGGGCUGAGAUUUGAGAACGCGACCAAGUGGAGAAUGUUGGAGCCAGAUUUUAAAAUCCUUGUCUUCCUUCUGCGUGCUACUUGAUCUAAAUGAGAUACGGCAAAGUCACAGAACCUGUUUUUAUGUUUUUGCCUGAUUCAUACGGGCUUCUCCGGUGAAGAUGGGCCUGAAGUAACGCUUGGGUUGCUUCUGACGUUAUAACUCAUCCUGUAGCUGCAGCAACCGUGGUCCUUGCAACCUCAUAAAAAUGUUGCCAGCAUUGUUUCGAUAGUGCUGCUUAAUUCUUGGAAGGUUCUUCGGACUUCACACAUUCCAGCAGUAGCUCUCUCAGCUCCUGUCCUGCACAGCUUUGAAGUCCUGAAACAGAGAAGAGUAUGAGAAGUGUUACAGAACAUGAAGAUACCCUUGUGGCUCAAACAUACUUAUUUUUAAAAACUCUAAAAGUCUAAAUGUGUCUGUAUCUGGAUAUAUUUUCAGUCAACUUAUGCUGUGUUGGGUAAAGGUAAACCAGCAUUUUCUAAUCUAUAUUUGUGCCACUAUCACCAGCAUUACACGAUAAGAUUUGUUAUAGGUUCAGUUCUUCUAGUUGAAUCCAAUCAUGCACAGUUAAUGUAGCCCAUUUCUGUUCUCCAUAAUAAUUUAUCUUAGUUUUGGGCAACUCUUUAUAGUCAGGAUAACUCUGCAGAGUGGAUGAAAUUCUAAUGAGUGGAAUUUGUUUUCUAGUGCUUUACUGAUAAGGUUAACCAGAUGGUGAAAUGUAAUAGCUUGGAAGAUGUAGUUUUGAUAUACAGUACAUCAUUUCUGGAAUGAUCAUGAAAAAGCAAAAUCAACAGAGCUUUUUAGAUUCUCUUUUUUGGUCAUGAAAUUGAAAAUAUACCUUUUUAGAGAGAAAUAUCUCAUCAUAGUUCUCCUGACAUUUAAACUGCUUGGCUAUAUAUUUUUAAAAGAAGACAAACUUUUGAAAAUGUUGCUAUAAAUUUUUAUGUAUUGUAGAUUUAAAAAAUCUCAUUUAAAAAAUGAAAGAUUAUGAAAUUUUUUAUGUCACCUGAAGGAAUGUCUAUGAUGUGAAUUUCAAAUAAAAUAGAUUUUCUUCAAUAUUUUUAGUAAUGAUAUCAAUUAAUUCACUAAGAAACUCACAUUUCUUCCAAGACAUUGAAUUUUGAUGAAACCACAAAUCAGUGAUUAUCAAAAUAUUAGAAUUAAGCAACCCUGAACAUUAUUUUGCUAUAACAUUUGCUAAUUUGGCACAGAUAUUCUUUGAAGAUGGACAAUAUACAUUUUUUCAUCUGUUUUGAUUUUUGCUGAUAUGGAUUAUGUUAAUUAUGGAAAUCUACAAGUAUCUCACAAAUAAAUUAUGUGGAUGCAUUUAACUAU
rnacentral:lncRNA from 1 species